AGAUUGAACGCUGGCGGCAUGCUUUACACAUGCAAGUCGAACGGUAACAGGCCGCAAGGUGCUGACGAGUGGCGAACGGGUGAGUAAUGCAUCGGAACGUGCCCAGUCGUGGGGGAUAACGCAGCGAAAGCUGUGCUAAUACCGCAUACGAUCUAUGGAUGAAAGCGGGGGACCGAGAGGCCUCGCGCGAUUGGAGCGGCCGAUGUCAGAUUAGCUAGUUGGUGGGGUAAAGGCCCACCAAGGCGACGAUCUGUAGCUGGUCUGAGAGGACGACCAGCCACACUGGAACUGAGACACGGUCCAGACUCCUACGGGAGCAGCAGUAGGAUAUGGACAAU
rnacentral:rRNA from 1 species